CCAGAUCUACUGGAUUAUGUAAUACCAAGACUAAAGAUGCGAUUCAAAGAUGUAGAGAAAGCAAGGGAAUUUUAUAACAGAUACGCCAGACACGCUGGUUUUGGAAUCAGGAAGAAGGGUGGAAAUGACAACCACAAGUAUUUUGUUUGCGCCUUCCAAGGGAUACACACAUCUUCUGUUUUAGAGGCUAGCAGGAAGCGAAACAAAACAUCGCAAAGGACGGGCUGCAAUGCAAGAAUGAGGAUGAAGGUGCGGGAGGAUGGCACAUGCGUGGCAGUGGACAUUGAGUACAAUCAUAAUCACCAGCUCAUGCAAACUGAUGACAUGCUGGUAUUUUUGCACUCACUCAAGAAUUAUGACCCCACUAUUUUGGAGUACGUAAAGCUCCUGCAGUACCAUGAUGUCAAGCACACAACAAUCAUGUCCAUGCUAUCUGAAAAUGAAGAUGGAAGCUACUUCCUAAGCAUGACCGGACGAGACCUGCUAAACUAGAAAGCCAUGAAUGCAAGGAAAGAUGAUUUGGAUGAUGUUUUGAAACUUGUUUCAUUCUUCAAAGACACGAAGGCAAUAAAUGAUGAGUUUUUCUAUGACAUCCAAGUGGACAAGGAUAAGUCAAUUAAAAACAUUUUCUGGUCCAAUGCAAGCUGCCGAGGAGCCUAUCAAGACUUCGGCAAUUGCGUAACAUUCGACACGACUUAAAAGACCAACAGAUUUCAUAUGCCCCUGGGAGUGUUUGUUGGAACAAACCAUCACUUGCAGUCAACAAUAUUUGUUGUUGCCCUGAUAAGAGACGAAGAUGCAAAGUCAUUCAAGUGGUUGUUCGAUACAUUUCUACGGUGCAUGGACAAUAAGCACCCAACUUGCAUUCUAACAGACCAGUGCCCAUCGAUGGCGAAAGCUAUACCACAAUCAUUUCCAAACACCGUCCACAAGCUAUGUUGUUAGCACAUCAUGAAGUACAGGGAGUACCUCGCGUUGCUGUACAAAAAGUAUAAAACAUUCAAAGAGGAGUUCACAGCUAUAUUAAACCCGCUGAUGCCAAUGGAGAUUGAAGAUGCCUGGGCUAAGCUCGUGCACAAGUACAACCUGGAGAAUGACCAGAUGAUGAUGCAACUCUGGAGUGAUAGGAAGAUGUGGAUUUCAGCAUAUUACAAGAACAUUUUCUGUGCUAGAAUGACUUCCACACAACAAAGCGAGAGCAUGAACCACGUGCUAAAGAAAGGGUUUGUCAAGGGGACCCAGAACCUACACAAGUUUGCUAGGCGGGUCAAUGCUUGCAUACAAACUCGGAUGCAGAAGGAGAACGAGCAAAUAAUGACCAGCAUGGUAUGA
rnacentral:rRNA from 1 species